rnacentral:lncRNA from 1 species
GCACCAUUACCGAGGAGGUGUUGGCAUUCAAUUUAGAAAAUAUUUUUACAAUUAAUAAGAUAAGUAGGAAUGUUAAAGCCUAUAGAUACAGUAUCUUUUUAUUUAUUUAUUUUAUUAAACUUAGCAGAGGGACAUUAUGGCAACUUUGAUGGGUAGAACUAUAUUCAAUACAAAUUGAAUAAAGCCUAGUAUUGCCCGACCAGUAACUAGUAGAAUUUCAUUUGAGAUUAAUCCGUCCUUAUUAACAUGGUUAUCAACUAAUAUGUAGUUUAGC